AGCGAACGCUGGCGGCAGGCCUAACACAUGCAAGUCGAACGAACCCUUCGGGGUUAGUGGCGGACGGGUGAGUAACACGUGGGAACGUGCCUUUAGGUUCGGAAUAACUCAGGGAAACUUGUGCUAAUACCGAAUGUGCCCUUCGGGGGAAAGAUUUAUCGCCUUUAGAGCGGCCCGCGUCUGAUUAGCUAGUUGGUGAGGUAAUGGCUCACCAAGGCUACGAUCAGCAGCUGGUCUGAGAGGAUGACCAGCCACAUUGGGACUGAGACACGGCCCAAACUCCUACGGGAGGCAGCAGUGGGGAAUCUUGCGCAAUGGGCGAAAGCCUGACGCAGCCAUGCCGCGUGGAUGAUGAAGGUCUUAGGAUUGUAAAAUCCUUUCACCGGUGAUGAUAAUGACUGUAGCCGGAGAAGAAGCCCCGGCUAACUUCGUGCCAGCCGACGCAGUAACAC
rnacentral:rRNA from 1 species